rnacentral:rRNA from 1 species
UACGUAGGGUGCGAGCGUUAAUCGGAAUUACUGGGCGUAAAGCGUGCGUAGGCGGUUCGUUAAGUUCGUCGUGAAAGCCCCGGGCUCAACCUGGGAAUGGCGAUGGAAACUGGCGGGCUUGAGUAUGGCAGAGGGGGGCGGAAUUCCGCGUGUAGCAGUGAAAUGCGUAGAGAUGCGGAGGAACACCGAUGGCGAAGGCAGCCCCCUGGGCCAAUACUGACGCUCAGGCACGAAAGCGUGGGGAGCAAACAGG